AGUGAACGCUGGCGGUAGGCCUAACACAUGCAAGUCGAACGGCAGCACAGUAAGAGCUUGCUCUUACGGGUGCCGAGUGGCGGACGGGUGAGGAAUACAUCGGAAUCUACUUUUUCGUGGGGGAUAACGUAGGGACACUUACGCUAAUACCGCAUACGACCUACGGGUGAAAGCAGCGGAUCUUCGGACCUUGCGCGAUUGAAUGAGCCGAUGUCGGAUUAGCUAGUUGGCGGGGUAAAGGCCCACCAAGGCGACGAUCCGCAGCUGGUCUGAGAGGAUGAUCAGCCACACUGGAACUGAGACACGGUCCAGACUCCUACGGGAGGCAGCAGCGGGGAAUAUUGGACAAUGGGCGCAAGCCUGAUCCAGCCAUACCGCGUGGGUGAAGAAGGCCUUCGGGUUGUAAAGCCCUUUUGUUGGGAAAGAAAAGCAGCAGGUUAAUACCCCGCUGUUCUGACGGUACCCAAAGAAUAAGCACCGGCUAACUUCGUG
rnacentral:rRNA from 1 species